rnacentral:rRNA from 1 species
GACGAACGCUGGCGGCGUGCUUAACACAUGCAAGUCGAACGGAAAGGCCCUGCUUUUGUGAGGUGCUCGAGUGGCGAACGGGUGAGUAACAUGUGAGUAACCUGCCCUUGACUUUGGGAUAACUUCAGGAAACUGGGGCUAAUACCGGAUAGGAGCUCCUGCUGCAUGGUGGGGGUUGGAAAGUUUCGGCGGUUGGGGAUGGACUCGCGGCUUAUCAGCUUGUUGGUGGGGUAGUGGCUUACCAAGGCUUUGACGGGUAGCCGGCCUGAGAGGGUGACCGGCCACAUUGGGACUGAGAUACGGCCCAGACUCCUACGGGAGGCAGCAGUGGGGAAUAUUGCACAAUGGGCGGAAGCCUGAUGCAGCAACGCCGCGUGCGGGAUGACGGCCUUCGGGUUGUAAACCGCUUUCGCCUGUGACGAAGCGUGAGUGACGGUAAUGGGUAAAGAAGCACCGGCUAACUACGUG